rnacentral:tRNA from 1 species
GGAGAGGUGCUGGAGUGGUUGAACAGGCGCGCCUGGAGAGCGCGUAAGUCGCAAGGCUUCGUGGGUUCGAAUCCCACCCUCUCCGCCA